rnacentral:lncRNA from 1 species
GACGGCCCACAUCCCCAACACCCACAGCUGGCCUCUACUCAGAGGAAGGUUGCACUCAACCCACAAUGGGCCAAGGAGCCACUACUGUACUGCCACUCCCAGCUGUGGUCAGAAUACCCUCUCCCAGGUGAGACCACUGCGCUAUGCAGCAAAAGGCCACACUCUGAUCAGAAGAUCUUACGUUUGAAUCUCAAGCACUGCUACUUACACACUGGGUCUGUCAGCAAAUUACUGCCCCACUGAUUCUCAGGUCUUUUCCUCUGUAAAAUGGAGAAAAUAAUAACCACUUUCUGAGCUUGUUGUGAGGAUUAAAUGAGAUAAUCUGCCUAAAAGGCAAGGCACACAGCAACUGAAGCUAUUAUCCAACUUGAAGCAGAGGCCAGCUAAUAUUGGGUAAAAAUUAUCCAAGCAGCCCAGUCAUACUCAGUUCAAAAUAGAUAUCUGUGACCUACUUAGUCUUCGAGUACCAUUCUCAAAGCCAAAAAACAAGACAGGGUCGCUGACUUCAGCAGAGCCCUGCAUGGGCCCCUGCUUUCCUGUCAGAUGAAACGUGCACUGCAACAGUGAUGACUCAACACAAUCCAACCCCUGGAGUUUCAAAAAAGAGACAUACACUAGCAAAUGGCUUUCUACUGUCAAAUGGGCAGAGGCAGAAGAGUGAUCAUGGACUCCGACUGUUAUAUACCACAGAUCCCAGGAACCUGGGACCUUUCUGAGUAUGUCAGUUCUGGGUUCAAAUCCUGCCUCUGAAGCUGACUAGCUCUGUGACUUUGGGCAGGUAGCUUUGUUUCUGUAAGUCUCAGCGUCCUCAUUUAUCGCAUAAGGGGUUCCAAAAAAAAAAUCUCUGCCUAUAGGUACAAGUCACCACACCCAGUAUAUUUUGUUUUUUUAAAAUAGGAAUGUCAUAGGUUCACAGUGAGAAUUAAAUAAGAUACUGUAAUGGCAAGUUCUUACAUUGUCUGGCACAUACUAAAUCCUAAUAAAUAAUAAUUAAUUAUUAUUAAUCAUAAUUUUAAUAGUUAUAAAGACAGUACAUGCUCAUUGUAAAAAAAAUGCUUAAAAAGCCCUCCUAUAAUAUGAAAAUCCAGAGAUGACCACU